UUGGGGGCGUACAACGGUUCGUAUGGAGCAUUGUAGCCCUGUAAAAUUCCCUUCCCACCUUCCCUCUAUGGAUUUUUCCCUCCAUUCUGUAUUCGGAGUGAGGACUCCUUCUUCCUUCCCACCGAAGCUCCUCGUCCCAUCCACGACCGACACCCCGUCAUCAUGGAUACAGAGCUCCUUUCUGGGUCGAGGUAUCGACGCCCCGCAAUAAUGGAUGCAGAGUUCUUCUUUAGGUCAAGUUGCAUUUGCUGAAAGUCAUCGGAUCAUUGUGAUAUGAAGUUGUCAUUGAUUCACAGCUUAUAUUUAUGGACAAAUUUCAUAGAAAUGUUACAAUGGAGGGAGGUUUAGGUGGAAGGUGAAUGCUGUCUUGGUAAAGUAGGGUUGGAAUUUCCUGCUUAUUCACUGCAGCCACAUCAGAGGUCAUUUGAUGAAGUUCAUUGUGAAGUCCUAUACAAUUUCUGAAGUGCAGUUAUAGUUAUAACCGCAUGUUGAAUUGACUUACUAAGAGUGAGAACCAGCAAUGUGCUUUGUUUCCUUCAGGAGGUUGGUUUUAGGUGCACUUCUCUGCUGUAGAUGGGGAAUGGGAACCAAAGAUGAAGUAUCAUUCCUUUCACAACGUAUUUGUCUUGCAUUGUUGAUGCUCUUCCACUGCGCUGCAUCGUAAUACACUUAAAUUUUCAACAAAGUCUUCUUAACCUUGAGGGCCGGAUGCAACCUUCUUUUUCUGGGCCAGAAUGAGUUCCAUGAGGAGGUUUUGGAUGCUUUGAAGUUUGUUGGCAAUCAAUCAGAUUUCACUAUUCAGAUACUAAGGGAUAUUACAAAUUUUCUGUGCUCUGCAGAGAUGAUUAAUGUGGCAGAGGCAGAGGUCCAUCUCCUGUCAGAAAUUCAGAAUGAAAUUUACAAGUUAACUGGACCCUUAAAUGGUGCAGCUAGUAUCCUAUCAGAGAACAAAUGAAAGUUCUGAGAAAAUCAGAGCAGCCAUUUUUGACUUGUACAUUGCUUGGUGAAUGGUAAAAGGCAUGGGCUGACAGGUGAGGUGCAUAUUUGCAUGUUGCUUGGUGAUUGGAAAAAGGCUUGGGCUGACAUGUGGAAUGGUGCAGAUUGUCAAAUUAAAGCUACCUGAGAAUGCUAAGCCAGGUGGUUCACAAGGAGCACUUCA